GUGCUCGCCUCGGCAGUAUGUAUACUAAAAUUGGAACGAGGCAGAAAAGAUUAGCAUGGCCCCUGUGAAAGGAUGACAUCCAAAUUCGAGGAACCUGAGGCCAUAGA